UAACCUACAUAGGGAUAUGUAACUAAACUGUCAGAAAUCAGUAGAGAUCAUAAUACCACCCUAUGUGCACAUAGGGUGAGAAGGAC
rnacentral:ncRNA from 1 species